rnacentral:rRNA from 1 species
CGCAUCUGUGCAUGCAGCAUAUCAAUAAGCGGAGGAAAAGAAACUAACAAGGAUUCCCCUAGUAACGGCGAGUGAAGCGGGAAGAGCUCAAAUUUGAAAUCUUAAAGGGUUUCCCUUUACGAAUUGUAGUUUAAAGAAGUGUUUUUUUGUUGAGGUUUUGGUAAAAGUUCUUUGGAAUAGGACAUCAUAGAGGGUGAGAAUCCCGUAUUUGACCUUUACUUUCAACUUUGUGAUACACUUUCAAAGAGUCGGAUUGUUUGGGAAUGCAGUCCAAAUGGGUAGUAAAUUUCAUCUAAAGCUAAAUAUUGGCGAGAGACCGAUAGCGAACAAGUGCCGUGAGGGAAAGAUGAAAAGAACUUUGAAAAGAGAGUUAGACAGUACGUGAAAUUGUCAAAAGGGAAGCGUUUGACACCAGUGUUGUUUUUCUGAAAAUCAAUUAAAGAACUGUUUAUGCUAAGUUGUUUAGACUUUAUCAGCUAACUGUUUAGUUUUGAGCUUUUCUUUAAUGCACUUUUCAGUUAACAAGUCAACAUCAAUUUCUUUUGCUGUAAAAAAGCUUGAGGAAGGUGGCUUGAGAUUCGUCUUAAGUGUUUAUAGCCUCUUGCCUAUGCAGUCGGAGAGAUUGAGGUCUGCAGCGUAGAUCCUUCGGGGCUAAAUGCAUUUGUGCUAAGUUAUAGCAUUUUAUAGACAACUUGUUGACUAUGAUUUGUCUUGUAGCUUACUCGCUUAUGUUAUUUUACCUACGCUUAGGAUGUUGAGCGCAUGUCUCUCUCU